GCCCCGCCCCCAUGGAGCCGCCGCCGGUUUGAACAGCAGCCCCGCGCGCAGAGAGCUAUGAGGGAGGCGCCAAGGGCCGGCGAUUCGCCGCGGGAGGCGGCGCGGGAGCGCGGCAUGGAGGGGCUGGCCUAGAUGGGGCUCGUGGCCCUACGUUGUCUGGCUGCGACGCGGGUCCUGCGCACGCUGCGGGCCCGCAGCCGCCGGGAGUGAGCGCCCGAGGGGCCGGGAGGCGAGCAGGGGACCCCAGGCGGGUGUGGGCAUCGUGUCCACAGCCAGCGUCCCCGAAGCUGCGCUCGGGCCGUGAUCACUCGGUGAAGCCGCGUUGCGACACAGCAGCCGACUUCUUCCCGCGCUGUGAGGACCUGUGCGCGCUGCAGGACUCAGUGCCUCUGCCUGCGGGAGGGCCUGCUGGGCUUAUCGCCGACCGCUUCCGCGGGCUGGACUGGGUGCCGCCCCUGAGCACCCUCUGCCCCUGAUCUGUAUCCAGAGCUUCUUCCAGCCACAGCUGGGCGAGACAGUAUCAGACUACCAGAAGGCACGAAGAAACCUGGGCUGAGAGUCUUCAUUCCAGGAGACCUGAUCUUGACUGUAUGGCUGGUUUGAGACGCAUCACUCUGAACUGCGACAUGCUCAUUGGUGACCUGGGUACAAGUGCUUUUGCAGAAUCUCUUAGUGAGGAUUUGUGGCUUUUUCAAGUGUGAUUUGGAGCUGAAGAUCAUGAUCAAAAGAAUGCAUUGCAUUUCUGAGCUCCACCAGGUUUUGCUUGUGAGGUUUACGUGCCACUGCCGCCUUUACUAAUUAUGAACUGAGAUUCAUUUUGUGAUGCUUUUUGCUCACAGGUUAUAUAUACAAUUAUUCUUCAGUUCUGUAAUUGUAAAAUAUGUUGGAUGAUUUAUUGGUACUAAAGCAAGGGUUAUCAUUGCACAUCCAAGAAGAGGUUUUUAAAUUGGAUUAUGCAUUAUGUGUGUGCGUAUACCUUUCUUUUGUUUUUCCAUACCCAAAAUUACAAACCUGCCGUGACUUGUCUUGGGUAGGACUCUUCGACACGUGAGAAAAUGAGAGUUGUCUAUAUGUUAAAUCUGUAGAGUUACUAAGUGACGUUUUGUCUUUCAUCAAAAACCCUUGACCUGCAGCAGUGUGGCCUCACCAGUGAAGGAGCAAAGGCUUUACUAAAGGCCCUUGAAACCAACAGAACUCUGCUCUUUCUGGAUGUAAGAAAAUAUCCACUUGUUGGUAUGUGGUCACUUUUUUAAAAUUGAUUAACACAUAACAAAACAAAAAGAAUUUGUUCAUGUAUUGACAGUUUUUAAAACUUAAUGUGUUUAACUUUCCUCAUCGUAUACAGUUGACCCUUGAACAAUGUGGGGUUAGCGGUGCCGACCUCUAUGCAGUAGAAAAUCUGGGUAUAAGUUUAUAGUCAGUGGUUCCGCAUCUGUGGAUUCAACCAACCUUGGAUCGUGUAGGACGAUAGUACAUAUUUAUUGAAAAAUACCCGUGUGUCAGUGGACCUGCGAGGUUUAAACCCAUGUUGUUCAAGAGUCAACUGUACUUUUCUAGUGUUGCACUUAUGUUUUUAGCAGGUAAUUUACUAAUUAAAGUGAAUUAUACUUGUAAGUUGUUCUUAUCCCUACUCUGAAUAGAGGUGGACCUAGAUACUAAACCUGCUUCCACCAAGAGCAUUAUUUCUUGUGCAACCUCUGAAUUCUUGCAAGGAGUACUUUAUUCAUUUGUCAGAUUCACAGGUAAUUUUUUAAAUAUCUUCUGUUUGCCAGAUACGGGUUUAGGCACAAGGGAUAAAGCAGUGAACCAGACACACAAAAGUCUUGCCCUCAUGGAGCUUCCAUUCUAGUGAAGGAGUUCAGUUAGAAAUGAGUAAACAGAUAAGUCAUAUAAUUUUAGAUAGUAGGAAGUGCAAAAAUAUCGUAAUGUAAGGAGAGUGAGCGGGGGCAGGUAGGACUCCAUUGGACAGGUUUGUUAGGGGACAGCUUCACUGGAGAAGUGGCAUUUGAACGGAGACCUGAAUGAAGAGAGGAGCAAGCCAUGGAAGAACUGGAAUAAGCACAUUCCAGGACAAGGAGGCAAUGCGUAUGCAGGCAUGUAGGUGGGUGGAGUAUUUAAGGAAAAGCAAGGAGGCCAACAUGGCCAGAGUACUGAGUGAAGAAGAUGUGGUAUGACAUGAGGUCAAGGAGCUAGCCAGGGGUCUGCUCUUGUAAAGUCUUGAAGGCCAGAGUAAAGAUGUGGAUUAUUCUAUAUGAGUAGAAGGUUUUGAAGUGGAAAAAGGCAUGAUCCAAAUAGUAUCUGAAUAAGAUGACCUGGUAUAGAGAAUAGACUUGGGAGAAUAAAGAAGACAAACAGGGAGACCAGUUAGGAGACUAUCACAGGGGUCCAAAUAAGAGAUGUUUAUGGCCUAGGUUAGGUUGGAACUUUGCAGCAAGUGAAAAGUGGUUGAAUUCAGGUUGUGUUUUGAGGGUGUAGCUGACAAGGCUUGCCGAUAGAUUAGAUGUGGGGUAUGAAGGGAAUAGUAACAAGGAGACAAGUCGUUGAUGAUUAUGUGUGCAACUGGGUGGUAUCACUUAGAAGGAGGGGGCUGAUGGGAGGAGCAGCUUUUGAGGGAAUAUCAGGACUUUGGUUUGUUAUCUUAGAUGCCCUUUAGGUAUCUAAGUGUCUGGACAGUGCUCAGACUGUACUUUCUAUCCAAAGGUAUCUAAAGCCACUUUAGAUGCAAAAUGUUUAAAGUUGACCUUUGCUGCUGCCAAAAUAGUAGCCACUGGAGGCAGUCUGCAAGAUGGCAUCUUAGGUUUCUGAGGAAGAAAUUAGAAUACACAAAGGGGGAGAUAAGUGUAUAAUUACAUAAUGUAGAUUUCAUAUUUAAAUUUAUGGGAAAAGCAAUAAUUAGUUGGCUUUUGGUUUUAAAUGGCAGUAGCCACUCAUUGGGAAAUAAUUACUCUAAUUUCAAUUUAUUUUACUUUAAAUCAUUCUGUGAUGAAAACAGUUAUCAAAAAAGGUCUCCAGAAUGGAAGGAGUGCCAAGUCAGAGGUAUAUAAUAUGUUUUAAUUCUCUUGGAAGAAUUUCUCUUUAAUGGCUUGUUUUUCUUUCCUUCUUAAAAGAAAAUUAUCAAGGUACUUUCUGCCAUCUUAAAACUAAGUUUUUAGUCAAAUGAAAUGGCUUUUCUGGUUUUGAAAAUGUUGUGUGAUGCUUUAAUUUAGCUUCCCAGAAAUGCAGAUUGAAGACCUUUUAUUAACUUAAAAUAUCUUAAUUUCCAAUGAAGAUCAAACCCUCCUAAAU